AUGCCACUUGCAAUGCUCUCUUGCCAUCUUCACUCUCAUAGGAAGCCAGAGACUGUUUUAGUUAGGACUCAUGUAUCUUCUCUGUUUUCCCUUCCGACCUUUGUCUGCUUCUCCAUCCCAUCCCCAGCCUUCUCAAGAAUAACCCUCCCAGCUGCCCUUCUGCUGUUCUGAACGGGAGCAAACGCCAUCUCCUUUCUCGAGGCAGCCGUGACACGACGGCCAGAGAAGCCGAAGCUCCCCCGGCCGCUCCCUGCCGCCAGGCUCCGUGCGCGCUCGGUACGCGCUGUGUCUGCGGGGCUGGGCAGGACUGCAAAGCGCAGGGCCUUGGGUCUUGGCCUCCAUCGGAUGAACAAUUUCCCGUUGAAGGUUACUCACUUCCUGUUUUCCGUAUUUAGACAAUCUGGGCCUAUUGGGAGCUUUGAUUUUUUGUAAACUUCAGCUGUUUUAAACGUUAAGUCGCGGGAGACUGAGGCUAAUUUCCAAGGGGAGAUGCCUCACCACAAAAUGUCCCUCUCUGCCCUGUCACAGUUGGUCCUGAUUUGACUGUCUCUGUGGAGAAGCCAAGGAUCAAAUGCUCCGUGGCGCCAGACUGUUUUCUUUUGCAGCCUGCAGGAACUGCUGAAGCCCCCGCUCAGAGAAGCACGCUCCUCCGGGCGCUGGGGGAUGCACCACCCCUCCUGACAGCCUGAUGGAUUAUGGCCCCAGUUCUGUCAGUGGAUCCAACCAAACCAGCAAAGAGGCAGAGAGGCAGCCCCCAGCAGCGAUGCCCACCCCUACACAUGGCAGGGUGACUUUGCAAGACUUGGCUUCACUUUGUAGGGCCCCAAGGGGUUCCUUGUGUGGGUCAAACUCGACUGUGUGAUGGAAGCAGCUGCAAAGUUUUGGUGUCAUGGAAGAUCUGUUUGUGAUCUCAGCCUAAUUUCUGCCCUUCCUCCCGGUGGACUCCACCGGGGUGGGUGCCUGAGACAGCAGGCGCUGGCUGCAUGUGGAUGUGGUGGCCACACUGCCCAAAGUUUACCCAAGCAGCUAAUCUGCAUUUUUAAGCGACAGCUGCCAACAUGACAGAACAAAAUGCUUCAACCUCCAAAGUCUGCGAGCAGGAUGGUUUUUGUGCCCCAUUAUGGUUUUGGCUGUGCUAGAACUUCACCAGGCAUUUACCAAAAUCGUGUUGCAGCUAUCACCCCUUGCUAGUGCAGGAUUGCCUUCCCCGGAGUUUUCUCCCAACAGUCUGUCUGACCUAGGUUGUCUGAUUUGAGGAACAAUAGGGUAGUUGGGAGAGGAGCUCUUUUUUUAAAUUAAUCUUUCAUGUUAGGGAGAAGAAUGAAGGAAUUGUGUCAAAAUAAUCACCAUCUUGGGUAUAUUAAAAUCCCGUCUUACAGCUACAUUUUUGCUUUGUUCCUCGCCCUUGCAAUCUUUUCCCCCUUCCUGGUAACUUUGGUAUGGAAGAUAGAUGGAGCUAAUCCAAGAGGGCUGUUGAGUACAUUUCCCCUCUCCUUGUUUUGAAGGCAGCUUUUCUUACAGGGUAGCCAUAGCAAAUGACAGCACAAAAACAUGCAAUCAGAGGGGUUGAGGCUUUUUGUGGAAAACAAAAUAAAUAUGACUUUGUGUCUGAUUUUAAAAUUUAUGAUUUAAUAAAGAUGCCUUUUUCUUUC